rnacentral:rRNA from 1 species
UUUUUUUAAAAACAUGUCCUCUUGAAUGGAUUUGAGGUCGUACCUGCCCACUGAUUUUUAAAGGGCCGCGGUAUUUUGACCGUGCAAAGGUAGCAUAAUCAUUAGUCUUUUAAUUGGAGGCUGGAAUGAAAGGUUUGACGAAACAAUCACUGUCUCAGGGUUAUUGAUUGAAUUUUACUUUUAAGUUAAAAGGCUUAAAUGUGGAUGGGGGACGAGAAGACCCUAUAGAUCUUUAUAAGGAAUUUUAUAUUUUUUGUGUGGUUGUUAUAUAUAUAGAAAAUUUAUUAUUUCUUAUUUCAUUGGGGUGAUGGGAGAAUAUAUUAACUUCUUUUUAUAUUACUUUAAUAGAUGGGUUUAUGAUCCUGUAUUAUGGAAUUAAGAUUAAGAUACCUUAGGGAUAACAGCGUAAUUUUGUUGGAGAGUUCCUAUCGAUAAUGAAGAUUGCGACCUCGAUGUUGGAUUAAGAAUAUGUUUGGGCGCAGGAGUCUAAAUUAUUGGUCUGUUCGACCAUUAAAUUCU